CAGCCGCCACGGGAAUACAGAGGGUGCAAGCGUUAAUCGGAAUUACUGGGCGUAAAGCGCGCGUAGGUGGUUUGUUAAGUUGGAUGUGAAAUCCCCGGGCUCAACCUGGGAAUUGCAGUGGAUACUGGGUCACUAGAGUGUGGUAGAGGAUAGUGGAAUUUCCGGUGUAGCAGUGAAAUGCGUAGAGAUCGGAAGGAACAUCUGUGGCGAAGGCGACUAUCUGGGCCAACACUGACACUGAGGCACGAAAGCGUGGGGAGCAAACAGGAUUAGAUACCCCCGUAGUCCCUGUCUCUUAUAC
rnacentral:rRNA from 1 species